rnacentral:rRNA from 1 species
CACGAACGCUGGCGGCAGGCUUAACACAUGCAAGUCGAGCGCCCCGCAAGGGGAGCGGCAGACGGGUGAGUAACGCGUGGGAAUCUACCCAUCUCUACGGAAUAACGCAUGGAAACGUGUGCUAAUACCGUAUACGUCCUUCGGGAGAAAGUUUUAUCGGGAAUGGAGGAGCCCGCGUUGGAUUAGAUAGUUGGUGGGGUAAAGGCCUACAAAGGAGACGCUCCAUAGCUGGUCUGGGAGGAUGAUCAACAACACUGGGACUGGGACACGGCCCAGACUCCUACGGGAGGCAGCAGUGGGGAAUAUUGGACAAUGGGCGCGAGCCUGAUCCAGCCAUGCCGCGUGAGUGAUUAAGGCCCUAGGGUUGUAAAGCUCUUUCACCGGUGAAGAUAAUGAUGGUAACCGGAGAAGAAGCCCCGGCUAACUUCGUGCCAGCCGCCGCCGUAAAAC